GAUGAACGCUGGCGGCGUGCCUAAUACAUGCAAGUCGAGCGAACAGACGAGGAGCUUGUUCCUCUGACGUUAGCGGCGGACGGGUGAGUAACACGUGGAUAACCUACCUAUAAGACUGGGAUAACUUCGGGAAACCGGAGCUAAUACCGGAUAAUAUAUUGAACCGCAUGGUUCAAUAGUGAAAGACGGCUUUGCUGUCACUUAUAGAUGGAUCCGCGCCGCAUUAGCUAGUUGGUAAGGUAACGGCUUACCAAGGCAACGAUGCGUAGCCGACCUGAGAGGGUGAUCGGCCACACUGGAACUGAGACACGGUCCAGACUCCUACGGGAGGCAGCAGUAGGGAAUCUUCCGCAAUGGGCGAAAGCCUGACAGAGCAACGCCGCGUGAGUGAUGAAGGUCUUCGGAUCGUAAAACUCUGUUAUUAGGGAAGAACAAAUGUGUAAGUAACUAUGCACGUCUUGACGGUACCUAAUCAAAAAGCCACGGCUAACUACGUG
rnacentral:rRNA from 1 species